AGCUAGGAAACAUGUGGUCUAUAUAUACGCAGGAAGCAAUAGGGUUGUUAUAGAAUCGCAGAGAAAGAGAAAAAGAGAGUGUGCGUUGUGAAUGAGAAGACAUGGGGAAGAAUGGAGAUGCUGCAGAAGUGAGUAAAAUGUGCGAGGCAAAGGUCCGGAACAAGAACAAUGCAUCGGUUAGAGGAAGAAACCCAAGUAAGUAGCCAUGCUUCCAAAUGAAGGUGGUGGAACAAAUGAACACCAGACGCCUUUACCGUACUUUAUACUGUGCUGCAAAUAACUUCAAAUUUAAAUUACAAACUUAAUCAACACAUGUAUUACUUUAGAAGUGCACUAAUAUGUUUUAUUUAUCGAAUCGAUUUGUUGCAAGUUUUGUUGGGAAAGUUUUGUGGUCAAAUUUAAUUGGAGACAGCUAAAUAUGGUAUGUGUUUAGUCUUUGAGAUUACGAUAUUCUUGAUUAUUCUUAUUUUGUAAGUCCCGGGAGAGUGAAUAUUUGCAAGUAUUUCGAUGCUCAAGAGAGUGAUGAAGGUGUAUGUGAUACUUUUAGUAAUAGCAAAGAGAUCAUGAUAUCUUUUAAUGAUAUUGAUUCAUCUUUA